rnacentral:lncRNA from 1 species
GAAGAAGAAGCUGCAGCGCUAAAAGCGUCUUCGCCCCGCCCACUGUGUGCUUCGUUUUUUUUCGUGGUGAUGACGCUAUUUGAGGUUAAUUCGCUUGUUUGGAGUCCUACGUGUUGCUUCACAACAACCUCCUGAGGAAAUAAUGGAGUUUAACUGUUGUUGGUGACGAACCACAUCCUUCAGCCCCAUCAGCUUUGAAAGCGCGAAAAAAACAUGGCGGCCGUUCAGGUCCCUUCAUCCGCCUCCAGCUUGGUUUCAUGGGCUCAUUAGGGACGAGAGCAGAGCUGGAGCUCCCACCUGGUGACUCCACCAUCACAGGGCACGGCCUGAGUCGGUGAGGAUGAAUCCUGACCGACCGACUGCAAGACCAACACCCAGAGUCAUGAAACCAAGGAAAGUCUUCUGCAAUUUGAAUCGAUUCCCGUCCACGCUCUGACAUUUGCCGGGCAGAUGAACGCUCUCACCCGUUCUCCAGUCACUUAGGAGGCUGCCUGCUGCCAGCCUUUAACGCGUCCAC